CGUCACUCGUGCCGUGAGGUGUUGGUUCAGUCCCKCAACGAGCGCAACCCUCGCCCUCUGUUGCCDCCGGGUCAUGCCGGNCDCUCUGAGGGNACUGCCAGCKACAAGUUGGAGGAAGGAGAGGAUGACGUCAAGUCAUYAUGGCCCUUAUGCCUAGGGCUACACACGUGCAACAAUGGCCGGUACAGACGGACGCGAGACCGAGAGGUDGAGCAAAUCCGAGAAAGCCDNWNCCAGUUCGGAUUGAGGUCUGCAACUNGACCUNAUGAAGUCGGAAUCGCUAGUAAUCGCGUAUCAGCACGACGCGGUNAAUACGUUCCC
rnacentral:rRNA from 1 species